rnacentral:rRNA from 1 species
UACGUAGGGUGCGAGCGUUAAUCGGAAUUACUGGGCGUAAAGCGUGCUCAGGCGGUUUCGUAAGACAGAUGUGAAAUCCCCGGGCUUAACCUGGGAACUGCGUUUGUGACUGCGAGACUCGAGUGUGGCAGAGGGGGGUGGAAUUCCACGUGUAGCAGUGAAAUGCGUAGAGAUGUGGAGGAACACCGAUGGCGAAGGAAGCCCCCUGGGUUGACAAUGACCUUCAUGCACGAAAGCGUGGGUAGCAAACAGG